CCUACGGGAGGCAGCAGUGAGGAAUAUUCGUCAAUGGACGCAAGUCUGAACCAGCCAUGCCGCGUGCAGGAAGACGGCUCUAUGAGUUGUAAACUGCUUUUGUACGAGGGUAAACGCAGAUACGCGUAUCUGUCUGAAAGUAUCGUACGAAUAAGGAUCGGCUAACUCCGUGCCAGCAGCCGCGGUAAUACGGAGGAUUCAAGCGUUAUCCGGAUUUAGUGGGUUUAAAGGGUGCGUAGGCGGUCGGAUAAGUUAGAGGUGAAAUCCCGAGGCUCAACUUCGGAAUUGCCUCUGAUACUGUUCGGCUAGAGAGUAGUAGAGGUAGGCGGAAUGUAAGGUGUAGCGGUGAAAUGCUUAGAGAUCAUACAGAACACCGAUUGCGAAGGCAGCUUACCAAGCUACUUCUGACGUUGAGGCACGAAAGCGUGGGGAGCAAACAGGAUUAGAUACCCCAGUAGUC
rnacentral:rRNA from 1 species